GUGAGCGUAGCUCAGUGGUAGAGCACCGGAUUGUGGCUCCGGUGGUCGUGGGUUCGAUCCCCAUCGCUCACCCCA
rnacentral:tRNA from 1 species